rnacentral:rRNA from 1 species
ACUUGGGAAUAUGCCUUUGCGUGGGGGAUAACUAUUGGAAACGAUAGCUAAUACCGCAUAACGUCUACGGACCAAAGGGGGUUUAGGGUCCUCUCGCGCGAAGAGUAGCCCAACGCGAGAUUAGCUAGUUGGUGAGGUAAAGGCUCACCAAGGCGACGAUCUCUAGCUGUUCUGAGAGGAAGAUCAGCCACACUGGGACUGAGACACGGCCCAGACUCCUACGGGAGGCAGCAGUGGGGAAUAUUGCACAAUGGGGGAAACCCGUGAUGCAGCCAUGCCGCGUGUGUGAAGAAGGCUUUC